rnacentral:lncRNA from 1 species
CUCUGUUGAAGGGCGAAUGACCUUUCGGCUCCUUUCCUGGUCAAAGCGCAUGGCCCAUCUGCGUAGCUCCUCGCCUCCUGUACGUCUGCAGCUGAGGAAGGGCCCGACUGAUUGGCCUGGGACUGUAAGGAGGAGGCAGAAGAGGCCUCCAAGCGACACAGUGGGGUUGAGUUCUCAGUGAGGGCGGGCAGAAGAUACACGCUGUGCUCGACUCCGGAAAGACCAGUGAGAAAUGAUGGUUUAAUACAGACCCGGCACCGAGCUCCUGAGGGCCUGGUCUAAUCCAACUGGAGACUACCGU